rnacentral:lncRNA from 1 species
AGCACUCUGUGUCUAGCUUAAGAUUUGUAAACACACCAAUCAGCACCCUGUGUCUAGCUCAAGGUUUGUAAAUGCACCAAUCAGUUCUCUGUGUCUAGCUAAUCUAGUGGGGAUUUGGAGAACUUUUGUGUCUAGCUCAGGGAUUGUAAAUGCACCAAUCAGCACCCUGUCAAAAUGGACCAAUUGUCUCUCUGUAAAACAGACCAAUCAGCUCUCUGUAAAAUGGAUCAAACAGCAGGAUGUGGGUAGGGCCAGAUAAGGGAAUAAAAGCAGGCUGCCCGAGCCAGCAGUGGCAACCUGCUCGGGUCCCCUUCCACACUGUGGAAGCUUUGUUCUUUCAGUCUUUGCAAUAAAUCUUGCUGCUGUUCACUCUUUGGGUCCGCACUGCCUUUAUGAGCUGUAACACUCACCACAAAGAUCUGCAGCUCCACUCCUGAGGCAAGCGAGACCACGAACCCACCAGGAGGAAUGAACAACUCCAGACAGGAGGAGUGAACAACUCCAGACAUGCUGCCUCAAGAGCUGUAACACUCACCGCAGAGGUCUGCAGCUUCACUCCUGAAGCUGGUGAGACCAUGAACCCACCAGAAGGAAGAAACUCUGAACACAUCCCAUAUUCGAACAUCAGAAGAACAAACUCCAGACACACCACCUUUAAGAACUGUAACACUCACCGCGAGGGUCCGUGGCUUCAUUCUUGAAGUCAGUGAGACCAAGAACCCACCAAUUCUGGACACAUUUUGGCAACAACGAAGGUACUAUCGCCUAUCACCAAGUGAUGAGACUAUCACCAAGGGGUGAGACCAUCGCCUACCGCUGAGUGGCGAGACUGUCACCUAUCGCCAAGCAAAUCGAAGACAUCAAGCUACAGAUGGUCUUACAAAUGGAACCCCAAAUGAGUUCAACUAACAACUUCUACCGAGGACCCCUGGACUGACCCGCUGGCACUUUCACUGGCCUAGAGAGCUCCCCUCUGGAGGACACUACAACUGCAGGGCCCCUUCAUUGCCCCUAUGCAGCAGGAAGUAGCUAGAGCGGUCAUCGGCCAAAUUCCCAACAGCAGUUGGGGUGUCCUGUUUAGAGGGGGGAUUGAGAGGUGACAGUGUGCUGGCAGCCCUCGCUCACUCUUGGUGCCUCCUCAGCCUUGGCGCCCACUCUGGCCAUGCUUGAGGAGCCCUUCAGCCUGCUGCUGCACUGCAGGAGCCCCUCUCUGGGCUGGCCGAGGCCAGAGCCAGCUCCCUCUGCUUGCAGGGAGGUGUGGAGGGAGAGGCGCAGGUGGGAACCGGGGCUGAGGGCAGCGUUCGUGGGCCAGUGCAAGUUCCAGGUGGGUGUGGGCUCAGCAGGCCUCGCACUCAGAGCGGCUGGCCAGUGCUGCCAGCCCUGGGCAGUGAGGGGCCUAGCACCUGGGCCAGCAGCUGCAGAGGGUGCGCCAGGUCCCCCAGGAGUGCCAGCCUGAUGGCACUGUGCUCAAAUUCUUGCUGGGCCUCAGCUGCCUCCCCACAGGGCAGGGCUCGGGACCUGCUGCCCACCAUGCCUGAGCCUCCCCUCCCCACUGUGGGCUCUUGUGUGGCCCAAGCCUCCCCGACGAGCACCGCCCCCUGCUCUGUGGCGCCCGGUCCCAUUGACCAACCAAGGGCUAAGGGGUGCAGGUGCACGGUGUGGGACUUGCAGGCAGCUCUGCCUGUGGCCCUGGUGUGGGAUCCACUAGGUGAAGCCAGCUGGGCUCCUGAGUUUAGUGGGGACUUGGAGAACCUUUAUGUCUAGCUAAGGGAUUAUAAAUACACCAAUCAGCACUCUGUGUCUAGCUCAAGGUUUGUAAACACACCAAUCAGCACUCUGUAUCUAGCUAAUCUAGUGGGGACUUGGAGAACCUUUAUGUCUAGCUAAGGGAUUGUAAACACACCAAUCAGCACCCUGUGUCUAGCUCAAGGUUUGUAAAUGCACCAAUCAGUACUCUGUGUCUAGCUAAUCUAGUGGGGACUUAGAGAACCUUUAUGUCUAGCUAAGGGAUUGUAAAUACACCAAUGAGCACUCUGUGUCUAGCUCAAGGUUUGUAAAUGCACCAAUCAGCACUCUGUAUCUAGCUAAUCUAGUGGGGACUUGAAGAACCUUUAUGUCUAGCUAAAGGAUUGUAAAUACAUCAGUCAGCACUCUGUGUCUAGCUCAAGGUUUGUAAACACACCAAUCAGCACCCUGUGUCUAGCUCAAGGUUUGUAAAUGCACCAAUCAGUGCUCUGUGUCUAGCUAAUCUAGUGGGGAUUUGGAGAACUUUUGUGUCUAGCUCAGGGAUUGUAAAUGCACCAAUCAGCACCCUGUCAAAAUGGACCAAUUGGCUCUCUGUAAAACAGACCAAUCGACUCUCUGUAAAAUGGACGAAUCAGCAGGAUGUGGGUGAGGCCAGAUAAGGCAAUAAAAACAGGCUGCCAGAGCCAGCAGUGGCAAUCCACUCGGGUCCUCUUCCACACUGUGGAAGCUUUGUUGUUUCACUCUUUGCAAUAAAUCUUGCUGCUGCUUACUCUUUGAGUCUGCACUGCCUUUAUGAGCUGUAACACUCACCACGAAGGUCUGUGGCUUCACUCCUGAGGCCAGCGAGACCACGAACCCACCGGGAGGAAUGAACAACCCCAGAUGGGAGGAGCGAAUAACCCCAGACAUGGCACCUUAAAAGCCGUAACACUCACUGCAAAGAUCUACAGCUUCACUCCUGAAGCCAGCGAGAACAUGAAUCCACCAGAAGGAAGAAACUCUGAACACGUCUGAACAUCAGAAGGAAAAAACUCCAGACACACCACCUUUAAGAAUGGUAACACUCACUACAAGGGUCCACAGCUUCACUCUUGAAGUGAGUGAGACCAAGAACCCACCAAUUCCGGACACAGUACUUUUUUUUUUUUUUUUUUUGAGAUAGAGUCUCACUCUGUCGCCCAGGCUGGAGUGCAGUGGCGCCAUCUCAGCUCACUGCAGCCUCCACCUCCCAGGUUCCAGCGAUUCUCCUGCCUCAGCCUCCCGGGUACCUGAGAUUACAGGCACAUGCCACCAUGCCUGGCUAAUUUUUUGUAUUUUUAGUAGAGACAGGGUUUCACCAUGUUGGCCAGGAUGGUCUCGAACUCCUGACUUCAGAUGACCUGCCCGCCUUGGCCUCUCAAAGUGCUAGGAUUACAGGCAUGAGGCACUGCACCUAGCCCAGAUUUUUGUAUUAUAGAUUUGGUUACUGUUCAGGGCCUAUUUGAAUAGCCUUCCACCACAAUUUGCCUUUACCUUCAAAGGGACACAGUAUACCUGUUAUAGGCUCAAUUUUGCCUCUCCAAAACUCAUAUGCUGAAAUCUCAACCCUCAGUAAGUGGCAUGUGUCUGUAUUUAGAAAUAGGGCUUUUAAAGAGGUAAUUAAGGUAAAAUGAUGUCACAUGGGUGGGCUGAGAUCCAAUAUGAUUGGUGUUCUCAUAAGAAGAGUUUAGGACGCAGACAACACACAGGUGGAGGAUGAGAGCUAAAGAGAGAGGCCUCAGAAGAAACCGAACCUGCUGACACCUUGAUCUUGCACUUCUAGCCUCAAAGACACUCAAGAAUAAUAUUUAUAUACAUCGUCUCUAUGAGACAAAAUGUUCCCAGAAUUCUUUACCCAAAAAGUUCCAACCUUGUACAAGGAAUUGUUUCUGCCAACAGUGAUCAGUCCAGGCAGCCAGGCCACUGAAUGGCACAAGAAUCUAUAAAAAUGUGCAGAUAGAGAUGGAUAUUGCAUAAUGACUGUCUUAGUCUGUUCAUGCUGCCCUAACAAAAUACCUUAGACUGGGUAAUUGAUAAAGAACAGAAAUUUAUUUCUUACAGUUCUAGAGGCUGGGAAGUCUAAGAUCAAGGUACAAGCAUUGGUGUCUGAUGAGGGCUUCUCUCUGUUUCCAAGAUGGCACCCUGUUGCUGUAUCCUCCAGAGGGGAGGAACACUGUGUCCUCAUGUGGAGGAGGAGCAGAAAAGCAAGAGAGCACUCCUUUCAACCUCAAACCCUUUUAUAAGUGUGCUAAUACCAUUCAUGAGAGCAAAGCCCUCAUGACUUAAUCACCUCCCAAAGGCUACAUCUCUUAAUACUGUUGCAGUCGGGAUUACACUUCAACAUGAAUUUUGGAGAAGACAGAAACACUCAAACCAUAGUAAUGAGUGACCAAGGCACUCAUUUCACUUCUCAGCCUACACAGUGUUGGACUUUCAAAUAAUGCUUCCAAUGGAACUUUCACCUCCCUUACUGGCUUCAGGCUACAGGCUUUACAGGGUACCAUAAUGGCUUAUUUAAGUAUGAAAUCCGUUAAAUUAAACAUGGUGCAUUUCAGUCAUCAGUCAUAUAUCAGGAUUUAAUUGUAAUAAAGAAUGUGACUCCAUUUAUUUUUAACAUUUUGCUGCUGACAACUUUUAAGCCUCACCCUCCCUUUUCCCCUUCUGCCACAUAUCUGAGCAAGCUGAAUAAGAAAGCUCAAGUUUUUCUUCCCUUGGCACCUAUGGAAAGUUUAAAACCUCACAUAGGAACCCUGACCCAGCCCCACCACUAAUCACCAUGAAAACCUCAAGCCAGUUUCCUUUUCUGGCCCUCGCAAGCCAUUUUUGGAACACUUGGGAGUGCCUCCCUGCUUUCCCCAGCAAAUCUUGUUUUUUUUUUUUUGUUUUUUUUUUUUUUUUUGAGACGGAGUCUCGCUGUUGCCCACGCUGGAGUGCAGUGGCGCAAUCUCGGCUCACUGCAGGCUCCACCCCCCAGGGUUCUCACCAUUCUCCUGCCUCAGCCUCCCAAG